CAUUAAGUGAGCCAUGCAGAAUUAAAGCAUCCAACAACUUCAUAUUUAGUGCAAAUUUUGACAUACAUUACCAGAGCCAAUCCAUCCCAAAUCAUUAUCGUGUUCUUUUAAUGCUGAAAAAGAGAUAGCAAUCAAGUAAAAUGCGACAAUGUAAACUUCAAAAGAUGCUUGAAAGUAUCCAAUUACAGGAAUUUCUUCUUUCUCUUAAGAUAUUAAAGGGAUUUGGAUGCUUGUCCUCUACAUACAUUGACAAGCUCAAAUAAAACUUAUAAUACAAUACUACAAUUCAUUCUUGUCUAAGCUAAGACUUAGUAGAUUUUAGAUUAAUAGUAAGGAUUGCAAUAACAAAAUUCUGUAAAGUGUAAGCUGAUAAAAAUUACAUCCCCCAAGCUAAUUACCCUUUCUGUGCAAGAAAAUAUUCAAACAAACAGAUGUAUGCAAGAUUCUUUUCAGUAUAGACUGUUCUUGAAGAACAAAAGGAAAGUAAAUCAAAGAUUCAUAAGUGACCCCAAGCCAAAUAAAUAUUAAACUGUAUUUUUUAUAAUUCUCUUCCUUGGAUAGGAUUGAAUAAGAUUAUAGUAAUGAAACAAUUUCAGCCACUAUUAUACAACCCAUAAUUGCCACACCCACUUAAAGGAACCCAA
rnacentral:misc_RNA from 1 species